rnacentral:rRNA from 1 species
CUACGGGGGGCUGCAGUGAGGAAUUUUGCGCAAUGGGGGCAACCCUGACGCAGCAACGCCGCGUGAGUGAAGAAGGCCUUUGGGUCGUAAAGCUCUGUCAACAGGGAAGAAGUUAUAAUUAUUUAAUAGAUAAUUGUAUUGACGGUACCUGUGGAGGAAGCGCCGGCUAACUCCGUGCCAGCAGCCGCGGUAACACGGGUGGCGCAAGCGUUAUUCGGAAUUAUUGGGCGUAAAGGGCGCGCAGGCGGUCUUGUCCGUCAGGUGUGAAAGCUCGGGGCUCAACCCCGGAAGUGCACUUGAAACAGCAAGACUUGAAUACGGGAGAGGAGAGAGGAAUUCCUGGUGUAGAGGUGAAAUUCGUAGAUAUCAGGAGGAACACCGAUGGCGAAGGCAUCUCUCUGGACCGAUAUUGACGCUGAGGCGCGAAGGCGUGGGUAGCGAACGGGAUUAGAUACCCCUGUAGUC